rnacentral:rRNA from 1 species
UGGGGAAUAUUGCGCAAUGGGGGGAACCCUGACGCAGCAACGCCGCGUGAAGGAAGAAGGCUUUCGGGUCGUAAACUUUUGUCUGGAGGGACGAUAGUGACGGUACCUCCGGAGGAAGCCACGGCUAACUACGUGCCAGCAGCCGCGGUAAUACGUAGGUGGCGAGCGUUGUCCGGAAUUACUGGGUGUAAAGGGCGCGUAGACGGGCAUGUAAGUCAGAUGUGAAAUACCGGGGCUCAACUCCGGGGCUGCAUUUGAAACUGCAAGUCUUGAGUGCAGGAGAGGGAAGCGGAAUUCCUAGUGUAGCGGUGAAAUGCGUAGAUAUUAGGAGGAACACCAGUGGCGAAGGCGCUUUCUGGACUGUAACUGACGUUGAGGCGCGAAAGCGUGGGUAGC